AUGAACGCUAGCUACAGGCUUAACACAUGCAAGUCGAGGGCAGCAUGAACAUAGCUUGCUAUGUUUGAUGGCGACCGGCGCACGGGUGCGUAACACGUAUCCAAUCUCGCCGUUACUCGGGGAUAGCCUUCUGAAAGGAAGAUUAAUACCCGAUAGUAUCCAUUUAGCGGCAUCGCCUAUGGAUUAAAGAUUUAUCGGUAACGGAUGAGGAUGCGUACGAUUAGCUUGUUGGCGGGGUAACGGCCCACCAAGGCGACGAUCAGUAGGGGUUCUGAGAGGAAGGUCCCCCACACUGGAACUGAGACACGGUCCAGACUCCUACGGGAGGCAGCAGUGAGGAAUAUUGGUCAAUGGGCGAGAGCCUGAACCAGCCAAGUAGCGUGCAGGAUGACGGCCCUACGGGUUGUAAACUGCUUUUAUGCGGGAAUAAAGAUAUCUACGUGUAGAUAGUUGCAUGUACCGCAUGAAUAAGGACCGGCUAAUUCCGUG
rnacentral:rRNA from 1 species